rfam:Bacillaceae bacterium MTCC 8252 Contig52, whole genome shotgun sequence.
UUUUUGGAGAGUUUGAUCCUGGCUCAGGACGAACGCUGGCGGCGUGCCUAAUACAUGCAAGUCGAGCGGAC